rnacentral:rRNA from 1 species
AGUGAACGCUGGCGGCAGGCCUAACACAUGCAAGUCGAACGGCAGCACAGUAAGCGCUUGCUCUUACGGGUGGCGAGUGGCGGACGGGUGAGGAAUACAUCGGAAUCUACUUUUUCGUGGGGGAUAACGUAGGGAAACUUACGCUAAUACCGCAUAUGAUCUACGGGUUAAAGCAGGGGAUAUUCGGACCUUGCGCGAUUGAAUGAGCCGAUGUCGGAUUAGCUAGUUGGCGGGGUAAAGGCCCACCAAGGCGACGAUCCGUAGCUGGUCUGAGAGGAUGAUCAGCCACACUGGAACUGAGACACGGUCCAGACUCCUACGGGAGGCAGCAGUGGGGAAUAUUGGACAAUGGGCGCAAGCCUGAUCCAGCCAUACCGCGUGGGUGAAGAAGGCCUUCGGGUUGUAAAGCCCUUUUGUUGGGAAAGAAAAGCAGCAGGUUAAUACCCCGCUGUUCUGACGGUACCCAAAGAAUAAGCACCGGCUAACUUCGUG